UACGGAGGAUGCAAGCGUUAUCCGGAUUUAUUGGGUCUAAAGGGUGCGUAGGCGGAUGUUUAAGCGUGAGGUGAAAUGCCACGGCUCAACCGUGGAACUGCCUCGCGAACUGGACAUUUGGAAUGCCCCUGCCGUGGGAGGAAUGUAUGGUGUAGCGGUGAAAUGCAUAGAGAUCACACAGAACACCGAUUGCGAAGGCAUCUCACGAAGGGGUGAUUGACGCUGAGGCACGAAAGCGUGGGGAUCAAAC
rnacentral:rRNA from 1 species